CUGAACCCAACUGUUUUAGCAC
rnacentral:siRNA from 1 species